rnacentral:tRNA from 1 species
GAGGGUGUAGCUCAGUGGCAGAGUGUGUGCUUAGCAUGCACAGGGUCCUGGGUUCCGUCCCCAGUCCCUCCA